rnacentral:ribozyme from 1 species
AGGAGGGGACCAACAAGAAAAGACGUGAAGAAACAGCAAUUUGUACUGGAUGGAUUCAUGAGGGGACACAUACAAAGGCCAAAUUGCAUGUCCCUUCCCUUUUCUUCCCUUCUCUGUCCUUCUUCCCUUUUUUUUUCACCUCAUUUUGUUCUUGUCAUGAAAAUAG